AGUGUAGGCGGUUUGAAAAGUCGGGUGUGAAGGCCCAGGGCCCAACCCUGGAACUGCAUCCGAUACUGUCAGGCUAGAGUCCCGGAGAGGGUGGCGGAAUUCCCGGUGUAGGGGUGAAAUCCGUAGAUAUCGGGAGGAACACCAGUGGCGAAGGCGGCCACCUGGACGGUGACUGACGCUGAGACUCGAAAGUGUGGGUAGCAAACAGGAUUAGAUACCCUGGUAGUCC
rnacentral:rRNA from 1 species